rnacentral:lncRNA from 1 species
AUUCUCGCCCGUCCACUCCCAGCGUAAAGAGGAUUCCGCGACUCGGAGACCGCAAUCUACCCGCCAGUCUCCAUAACGUAGGCCAGAGCAGCUGGGCUAAAUAAAACAGAGCCGGGGCUCUCCCUUCCCGAAGGCCUACAUCGCCCACUGGUCCGGGCUCGGAGCUCAGCAGAACCAGAGUAGGAGCGGUUGUUGCCGGCACGGAGGAGGGAGAGCGCUUGUGACGCUACGAACCUCUCGAACACCUGACGACUGGGCGCCAGGGCCGGAUGGAGGGUGGAGAGCCAGUGCGGCGCAGCUGCCUCCUCUUAACGGGGACACCUUGCAGGAAUGUGCGGAGUGGAGCUAACGGGAGCGGAUAGAAACCGAGGGAGGGGAAGAGAGCGCGAAGGCUUGGCCGGAAGGAGAGGUUAAAAAGGAAAGGCCUAAAAUGAGGAAGAGAGUUACCACAACAAGCAGUACCUAGUUCCAGUUCUUGGUCCCAGGAGUUUGUGGUUGUUGCUGCUUUCAUCUUCCUCAGCCAACACAAAAGGAAAGUGCCAAGGGGCGAUUCCUAGGACCUUCAGUGCAGUCUCCACCUUGCGGACUUGGCUCAUUUGUGUCCACUCCUUUCUCCAGCCUUUUACACUUGAUGCUCUUGGAUGAAUAGAAAGGAGCACAAUUAAUGGAAAACACAAGCUUGGGAGUCAAGGGAUUUGGGUUCUAUUCUUGUCCUCCCUUGGUGACGACAUCAUUACCUUGGGUUAUUCAAGCUUUCAGUGCCAGAGUUCCUAUAUCAAUAAAAGAUUAUUACAUUGACCUCUUAGAGAAAUGUUUUCAUGGUACUGAAUUGCAAAUAAAGUAUGUGUAGCGAUGUGUUAAAAAAAAAAAAAAAAAA